rnacentral:tRNA from 1 species
GCCAGUGUGGCUCAGGGUUAGAGCAUUGGCCCUCACACCGAAGGGUCAUGGGUUCCAUUCCCAGUCAAGGGCA